rnacentral:rRNA from 1 species
AGUGAACGCUGGCGGUAGGCCUAACACAUGCAAGUCGAACGGCAGCACAGUAAGAGCUUGCUCUUACGGGUGGCGAGUGGCGGACGGGUGAGGAAUACAUCGGAAUCUACUUUUUCGUGGGGGAUAACGUAGGGAAACUUACGCUAAUACCGCAUACGACCUACGGGUGAAAGCAGGGGAUCUUCGGACCUUGCGCGAUUGAAUGAGCCGAUGUCGGAUUAGCUAGUUGGCGGGGUAAAGGCCCACCAAGGCGACGAUCCGUAGCUGGUCUGAGAGGAUGAUCAGCCACACUGGAACUGAGACACGGUCCAGACUCCUACGGGAGGCAGCAGUGGGGAAUAUUGGACAAUGGGCGCAAGCCUGAUCCAGCCAUACCGCGUGGGUGAAGAAGGCCUUCGGGCUGUAAAGCCCUUUUGUUGGGAAAGAAAGGCAGCAGGUUAAUACCCCGCUGUUCUGACGGUACCCAAAGAAUAAGCACCGGCUAACUUCGUG